AGUGAACGCUGGCGGUAGGCCUAACACAUGCAAGUCGAACGGCAGCACACUAAGAGCUUGCUCUUACGGGUGGCGAGUGGCGGACGGGUGAGGAAUACAUCGGAAUCUACUUUUUCGUGGGGGAUAACGUAGGGAAACUUACGCUAAUACCGCAUACGACCUACGGGUGAAAGCAGGGGAUCUUCGGACCUUGCGCGAUUGAAUGAGCCGAUGUCGGAUUAGCUAGUUGGCGGGGUAAAGGCCCACCAAGGCGACGAUCCGUAGCUGGUCUGAGAGGAUGAUCAGCCACACUGGAACUGAGACACGGUCCAGACUCCUACGGGAGGCAGCAGUGGGGAAUAUUGGACGAUGGGCGCAAGCCUGAUCCAGCCAUACCGCGUGGGUGAAGAAGGCCUUCGGGUUGUAAAGCCCUUUUGUUGGGAAAGAAAAGCAGCAGGUUAAUACCCCGCUGUUCUGACGGUACCCAAAGAAUAAGCACCGGCUAACUUCGUG
rnacentral:rRNA from 1 species